UAACUUAUUCUCAAAAUUAUAUUUUUCGUUCGUUUUAUCUCUCGACAAAAUAACAUAAUUAUGUUUCUACAAUUUUUGAUUAUCUUAAAUUUUUUUUAAAUAAUCUACUCAUUGAGUCUUGUAAUUAAUAAUAAAUGCUCUAAUAAUAUAAUUGGAUCCGAAAUGUGGCCCAAAUAAUACGGAACACCUAGUGCUACCACAGACCCUACGGGCAUGUUUGAUUACUCGGACUGACCAAGUAGUCUCCGGAUUACUUGGAGGACUAAUAAAACCAUGGAACCCCCAAGGACAAGUUGUCUCAAGUAUGGGGGACUAUUGGGUCUGCUCGGACUAGUAGUCCAGAGUCAUUUUGAAAAAACAAACGCGAGACUGGAUUGAACCCAUAGUUCAGUCCUGCCUAGUUCGGGUAAUCAAACAUAUCCUACAGGUACAACCGUCCUUUAAUAAAACGCUUCAGAGGAAGGGUCCUUGACUUGAAAACUUCGACAAAUAGGAGUGAGGACAAAGCAAUAGUUAUAUAAUUAGUGACAACUUUAAUUUGGUCUUUGUGAAAAAAAAUAAUAAUAAUAAUAUUUAUUGGGAGGGACAUAGUUUUUAGCGCAGCAUGUUGUUUGAAAAAUUUAUUCCACAAACACAUUCUGCAAAAAAUAAUUUAUUCAUUAAAGAAUAAUUUCUAUUAAUCAAAUCAACAUAAAUUAAAUAGAAUUUACAUAAAUUAAACUGAAUUUACAAAAACUAAAUAGAAUAAAUCCAAAUAGAUUUAUGCCGGGUCUUGCAAUCGUAAUCUCUUUAAAAAAGAUUCGCCUCCUAUCGAGAGUGUUGUAGGGUGUUGUCGACUUAUUUCUUGUAAGAUAAAAUGGCUAGACCAACUUACGUUGGAACUUCUCCGAUGUAGCCUUGGUGAACUGAACAUUAUCUGACUCUCUCUCUCUCACCAAUGAAAACUCAGAAAAAAAAAUUAUAUACUUGAAUUGUUUUUUCCUAUGUUUUCUAACAAAACAAUCCAUGUUUUUUAAAGAAAAUAACGACCUUUCAAAAUGAAAAUUUCCAGCCAUAAACACCAUAUAAUGAGGGUAUUUUCAUGCAAAUCGAUGUAGACUCGAGAGAGAGACAACAUAUAAUUUCUACAUAUGAUAUGUAGCUUUUGCCUUGAACCUUCUCUUGUGAAAGCCUAUCGAAUUUAUCGGAACACUGGUGGAUGAGCUCAUCUUGAACUGUGUUGCCAUCGGUGUAAUUGAGACAAUAGACCACAGGAACUUCUCAUGAUAUAGUUCAGUUCUCACUGUUGUGUCUAUUUUGGUCAUGGAACACUCUUUCUAGUUUUGCAAGUAUUUUCUCGAGAAUUUUGCCUUUCUAAUUCUCAAAGAAGCGACCCCACUUUAUGUUUACAUAGAUGACUUAUUUUCAUGGAUAUUUCAUUAUACCCAGCCUGACUCACCAGCGCAAACAGUCAUUAAUAGCUAACGCUUAACCUUAUCCACAAUCACUAUGCAUCAUAGAAACGGGUAGGAGUUCUUCAACUCCAUAGUGAUUAUCUUAGAUAUACGCAAUUAUGUUAUCCCAUUGAACAUAGACUUGGAGUCUUCAGUUUAGAUUUUCCUUCACGGUAUAUUUCUCUUUCAUAAGCAUUAAACCCAUUCCUUUUGAUAUUUGAUUAACUAACUCUCGGGGUAACCCUUUUGAUAAGCGGAUCCACAAUAUUGUCCUUUGACCCACAUAGUUAAUAGUGAUUGCCCCACUUUAGAGCAACUUCUAAUGGUAUUAUGUCUAUGACAAGUAUGUAUAGACUUACCGUUAUAUAUAGUAAUCUGUGCCUUACCAAUCGUAGUUGACUAUUGCAAUGGAUGGUAAUCGUAGACACAUGUUUUGACCAUAUUGGAAUAUUCUCUAGAAAUUGGCAUAGCCACUCAGCCUCUUUAGUCAUCUUAUCAAGAGCUAUAACUCUGAUUCCAUCUCAUGCAAUACACAUCUGUUUGAAAAAUUUUCAAGACACUGCUGCAUCACCAAUCAUGAAAACAUAUCUACUCAUGGAUUUCGAGUCUUUCAUGUCCGAUAUCCAGUUUGCAUCAUAAUGCCCUUCUAGUACUAGUGGAUAUCUAAUGUAAUGCAGUCCAAUAUCAAAAGUAUAUCUCAAAUAGCGUAGUAAUCUUACUAUCGCCUUCUAAUAAUUACUUCCUAG
rnacentral:lncRNA from 1 species